UUCAGGGCUGGGGCAGCUCCAGCUCUCACCCCCAGCACCCCCGAGUCCAGGGCUGCUCCUAAUCCAUUCUCUGCCCAGCCUGGAUUUGUGCCUGGGAUUUCCCCACCCAGGUGUAGCACCAGCACUUGGCCUUGCUGAACUUCAUUUGACCACUCAAAAGCCAACCUGGAAAUGCUAGAGCACGUAGCAAGUCCUGGGAAAACUUUAGUACUGGAUGUUUCCAAGCGGGAGAGAUGGAGCUCUCUGCCUGAGAAGGGCUCUUACAAUGCAACACCUCAGAGCACUGAGCAAACACGAGGCAAAUCCAGCCUACAAAGGAUGUCCUCAUCCAACAAAACCAUGGUACUGAGGACUGGGUGGAAGCGUGCUUCAGCUUGAAGAAAGUUCAUUUUUUAACUUUAUCCACUGCCUAACAAAUAAUGCAAUCAGUAAAAUAGUUCUAAUCUUUUCUGGAAGAAAUCAUGGCACUAGAUAAGAUUAUCUUCACAUCUAUUAACUGAAAAUUCUUUACUCAUCCAGGCUAGAAUCAAUCAUUUUACAAAAUGAUUUUGACCUUAUUUUUGUCUGAGUUUAAAGCUGUGUAUUUCUAAACACUGCCAGCACAUAAAUGUUCACCUUUGUAAAAUUGCAUUCUCUCUUACAACAAGCAUUCUAUGUCACUUUGCCUGGCAAACUUUUACUUUCUGUCCAAAUGAUCACAUUAAUCACUUAAUAGUCUUGUGAUUACCACUGUAAAAGGAUCUGAGAGUCAUUUCAAAGACUCCCUUCAUAAAACUGAGUGAGUGCAGUGGAAGCUGUAAACUGGCCUGGCACAUAUGCCUGGAAGAUGCUUGAUUACUUUUUAAUGUUUAGUUCUUCUGUGGCAGGGGAGGACAUCCAACAGGGCUGCAACACCAGGAACUGGUUUAAUGUAGGAGAACUUCCAUAGCAGUCUCUGGGAUCUGUGGCAAUCCUUGAUGAGGCAGGAGUUGUUGGGAUUUGGAGAGUCUGGUUUGAGGAGUGGACAGCUCCUCUAAUCAGCUUUCUGAGGUAUGUUCACACUUCUGUGGGUGUUCUUUCAGUUAAGCCAAAACCAGGAUUCACAGCUGCAAGUAGGAGAUUCUGAGUGCCAAUGGGACAGUGUGAUGUUGAACAGGCACCAGCAGAUCCCUGCUAUGGGCUGUUACUGCUGCUUUUCAUGUCCUGGCAAAGAUGGAACAACACAUUGGAGCUGUAAACACAUCCUGUUGGAAACAGCAUGGGUGGCUUGGUCCUGGCCUUCACCUGUUCCUCCCUGGCACUUGUAGGAUGGAGAUGCAGGAUGGAGCAGGAUGCUCUGCCCAAGUGGGGCCAACACAGCUCAGAUAAACCCCUGUUUGGAGAUGGGAAUAAUUUUUGGGGUUGAAGGAUGCUGAGACCAGCCUGACUAUCUAUUCUGAAGUUAAACACCUGGGAAGAAUAAUGUUCCUGAGUUCCUGACAGAGGAACCAACAAAUGAUAGUGCUGACAACUGAUCCAAAGCUGCUGAGCUGGCACAGCCUGGGGGCAUCUGACUGACAGUCCAGCACUUCAUAGUACAAAAACCCAGUCCCAAUGUUAAGAGGAGGGAUCUUCAGCUCUUUCUUGGCAUGUGUGUGGAGAUUCUUCCCUGGAGUGGGCACACCCCUCAAGGCUGGGCUGAAAAGAUUUGCCCACAGUCAUUGGGAUGGGUGAGUGACAUCAGUCUCUACUGAGAAAUUAUUCUGCCAGAUUUAAUAUCAUUGCUUCAACAAA